AGUGAACGCUGGCGGUAGGCCUAACACAUGCAAGUCGAACGGCAGCACAGUAAGAGCUUGCUCUUACGGGUGGCGAGUGGCGGACGGGUGAGGAAUACAUCGGAAUCUACUUUUUCGUGGGGGAUAACGUAGGGAAACUUACGCUAAUACCGCAUACGACCUACGGGUGAAAGCAGGGGAUCUUCGGACCUUGCGCGAUUGAAUGAGCCGCUGUCGGAUUAGCUAGUUGGCGGGGUAAUGGCCCACCAAGGCGACGAUCCGUAGCUGGUCUGAGAGGAUGAUCGGCCACACUGGAACGGGGACACGGACCAUACUCCUACGGGAGGCAGCAGUGGGGAAUAUGAGACAAUGGGGGCAAGCCUGAUCCAGCCAGACCGCGUGGGUGAAGAAGGCGUUCGGGUUGUAAAGCCCUUUUGUUGGGAAAGAAAAGCAUCAGGUUAAUACCCCGCUGUUCUGACGGUACCCAAAGAAUAAGCACCGGCUAACUUCGUG
rnacentral:rRNA from 1 species